GAUGAACGCUGGCGGCGUGCCUAAUACAUGCAAGUCGAGCGAACGGACGAGAAGCUUGCUUCUCUGAUGUUAGCGGCGGACGGGUGAGUAACACGUGGAUAACCUACCUAUAAGACUGGGAUAACUUCGGGAAACCGGAGCUAAUACCGGAUAAUAUUUUGAACCGCAUGGUUCAAAAGUGAAAGACGGUCUUGCUGUCACUUAUAGCUGGAUCCGCGCUGCAUUAGCUAGUUGGUAAGGUAACGGCUUACCAAGGCAACGAUGCAUAGCCGACCUGAGAGGAUGAUCGGCCACACUGGAACUGAGACACGGUCCAGACUCCUACGGGAGGCAGCAGUAGGGAAUCUUCCGCAAUGGGCGAAAGCCUGACGGAGCAACGCCGCGUGAGUGAUGAAGGUCUUCGGAUCGUAAAACUCUGUUAUUAGGGAAGAACAUAUGUGUAAGUAACUGUGCACAUCUUGACGGUACCUAAACAGAAAGCCACGGCUAACUACGUG
rnacentral:rRNA from 1 species